UACGGGGGGGGCAAGCGUUGUUCGGAAUUACUGGGCGUAAAGGGCUCGUAGGCGGCCAACUAAGUCGGAUGUGAAAUCCCCAGGCUCAACCUGGGAACUGCAUCCGCUACUGGAUGGCUUGAAUUCGGGAGAGGGAUGCAGAAUUCCAGGUGUAGCGGUGAAAUGCGUAGAUAUCUGGAGGAAUACCGGUGGCGAAGGCGGCAUCCUGGACCGACAUUGACGCUGAUGAGCGAAAGCUAGGGGAGCAAACGGG
rnacentral:rRNA from 1 species